AAGUCAUGUAUGGCUACAGGCACACAUUUUUCGAGAUGCGUCUGAGGCUAACUAAAGCCUAAGUCAUACGAAAGAUGUCUUGGCUAUUUCAGAGUCGGCAUCCUCAGAAGACUUCUACAUUUCAUUGUUCAUUCUGUUUUUCGAGUGGUUUUUUAGCGCACUUAUCGAAUGUGCUGUUUUAAUUUCUGUUUUUUGUUUAUUCGUGCGAUGGUUGUAAACAUUGAAGUUGAAUUUCAUGAAUGACAAAGAAAAUGGACAUUUCCAAUAGAACAUUAAUUUUCUUUCUGUAUUUACUUG
rnacentral:lncRNA from 1 species